UUCUUGUGAAUCACCCACAGCGAUUCCCGAAGGGUUGUCCCCAGCCUCAAGCCUCUCUGCACCGUAACUGUGCUUCUUAUCCUCAGAUACCUGCCUUGCAUUGGCCCUGGGUAAAUGUUUCUCUUGGCUGUGAAUAGGCAAUUAAAAUUCUGAGCCUUUUAUGGCUCUGGAUGCUUAUCCCAUGGCACAAUACUCAUCCAGGCGGAUGGCCCACCAACGCAAAGAAAGAAACAAACAGAAAAACCCAACACAACAGUGAAUGAAUUGCAUCGUUAGGCAGAGAUGAUGAGCCAUAGAAACUUGAACAUCAGCCGAGAGGUGCAGUCAACUCUAGGAGGAACUAAGGGAGGGUGUCCACUAGCUUCUUCAGCUGAGCCACUGCCUCACUCGUGUCUUGAUCGGGGCUGAAAAUUCCCAUGGCAGCCUCAAAACUGGAGGGUGUGUCCAGGAACAGGGAUUCAAUGAUGCGCAGAAAGGUGGGGCAGAUCUUUGCGGAAGCUGCAACACAGAGAAGAGAAGGCAUAUGUCUCCAGGCCCCUUUCCAAGCUGGCUAGCUCUCUGGCUGGAUCUGCCCAGAUGCAAACAGCCAGGCCCAUCAAGCACCCUUUUCAUCGAUGGGCUAGAGUGUGGGAUCUGCUGGUGCUCCAAGACGUUGCCUAUCUGGCGCUGUGCGAAUACUUUCUGGAUUAUGGCCAGCUUUUUGUGGAUUGCCCGAGUCUUCCUUGGAUUUCUUGGGUUGAGGGCUGAGGCUGCUGUAAGCCAAGGUACGCAACGCUUGCUAAACAGGAAUCCCUGGAAUUAAUCCAUGCAUGAGGCCUUUGUGCCAUGGGACAGCUGAAGGCCAUGGUGACCCCUGAACCGUCCCACUCAGAGACGCCUUAACUCUGGUUUUCUUCUGUGUCCUAUCAUCUGGGCUCUUGAAUCUAGCCUAUCUUGAGGACUUCAGGGUCUGCAUCCCUCCCCUCUUCGGGACUGUUGAACAGUGUACCUGCCUGCAAUCCCAGCACUUUGGGAGGCCGAGGAGGGCAGAUCACCUGAGGUUGGGAGUUCGAGACCAGCCUGGCCAACAUGGCGAA